rnacentral:pre_miRNA from 1 species
GAGACACCCUUAUAGGGCAGGACUUGCUUCAGUGGGGCUUUGGUGUUCACUGAGUCUGCCCCCUGAGUCUGUCUCU